UGAAAAUGUGGAUCAUCUGAAACUACUGCACGAUCAUCCCAAUUUAAGCGACCACCAAAUAUAUUCCAAAUACCAUUUUGAUUUUUAAAAUGUGCACAACGAUGAUUUAGGACAGCAUCACCAAGCACCUUUAUCCCAACAUCAUGGAACGUCUUCACAACAUCCUUCAGCUCAUCAAUGUUACCAUAUCUGGAAUUUAAAUUAUACAAG
rnacentral:misc_RNA from 1 species